UACGGAAGGCAGCAGUGGGGAAUAUUGCACAAUGGGCGCAAGCCUGAUGCAGCCAUGCCGCGUGUAUGAAGAAGGCCUUCGGGUUGUAAAGUACUUUUCAGUCGUGAGGAAGGUGUUAAGGUUAAUAACCUUAGCAAUUGACGUUAGCGACAGAAGAAGCACCGGCUAACUCCGUGCCAGCAGCCGCGGUAAUACGGAGGGUGCGAGCGUUAAUCGGAAUUACUGGGCGUAAAGGGCACGCAGGCGGUUAAUUAAGUUGGAUGUGAAAUCCCCGGGCUUAACCUGGGAAUGGCAUUCAAGACUGGUUAGCUAGAGUCUUGUAGAGGGGGUAGAAUUCCAUGUGUAGCGGUGAAAUGCGUAGAGAUGUGGAGGAAUACCGGUGGCGAAGGCGGCCCCUGGGACAAAGGCCGACGCUCGAUGUGCGAAAGCGUGGGGAGCAAACAGGGAUUAGAUACCCG
rnacentral:rRNA from 1 species